AGAACAUCAGUUUGGCGCGCUUGUCGGGAAGGUCGAUUUCGCCCUGUUCCUCGAAGGCGCAGGCU
rnacentral:sRNA from 1 species